ensembl:lncRNA
AAAAAGUUUUUCAGAAACAGUUCCUGAGUAGGAUCGGUGGGAACACGUUGAGGGACAAUGUCACCGAAGUGAUGGAGAGGUGGACACACACUGCCUAAAAUACUGUUGUACUCCUGUGUAAAUCUCUCUUUCUGUGACUGGUAUUUGAUGGGUAACAGUCUUCUCUUACUAGGCUGAUGACCAAUGAACUGAUGAGCAACUUCAACAUGAAAGGAAGGAAAUGGACCAAGAAGAGUUUUCUCACACACUCCCUGAGCAAAAUCUUUAUUGACAUCAUCAUGAUCACCCACCCAUAUGCCACUGAGUCUGCUGUCCUGCACCUGAUGGUCAACGUACUGAAUACGCCCCAGACAGACAUGGAGGGGGAGGCCUACAAAACAGUUACAUGCACCUACCCCACUACCACUGCUCUGUUGCUGAUAACUGGGAUGAAUGCAGGAGCAGAUUUCCGGAGCAGCACAAGAGACCCUCUUUGUGACUGAUGACUGACAAUAAGGGCAUGUACGUGAUAGGCCUAUAUGGCUUGUAUGAUUAUGAUGGUC